GAUGAAGAAUGUAGCGAAAUGCGAUACUUGGUGUGAAUUGCAGAAUCCCGUGAACCAUCGAGUCUUUGAACGCAAGUUGCGCCCGAAGCCAUCAGGUUGAGGGCACGUCUGCCUGGGCGUCACAUAUCGUUGCCCAAUGCCUAUUGCAGUGCAAUAGGAAUUUCUAGGGCGAAUGAUGGCUUCCCGUGAGCGUUGUUGCCUCGCGGUUGGUUGAAAAUCGAGUCCUUGGUAGGGUGUGCCAUGGUAGAUGGUGGUCGAGUUAGAACGAUACCGAUCAUGUGCAUGCUCCCCAAAAUAUGGCCUCUAUGACCCACACGCGUCUUUUGACGCUCAUGACGAGACCUCAGGUCAGGCGGGGCUACCCGCUGAAUUUAAGCAUAUCAAUAAGCGGAGGA
rnacentral:misc_RNA from 1 species